GACAGAGGAUGCAAGCGUUAUCCGGAAUCACUGGGCGUAAAGCGUCUGUAGGUGGUUUAAAAAGUCUACUGUUAAAAAUUGAAGCUUAACUUCAAAGAUGCCGUAGAAACUUUUAAACUUGAGGAUGGUAGGGGUAGAGGGAAUUUCCAGUGGAGCGGUGAAAUGCGUAGAUCUUGGAAAGACCACCAAUGGCGAAGGCACUCUGCUGGGCCGACACUGACACUGAGAGACGAAAGCUAGGGGAGCGAAUGGG
rnacentral:rRNA from 1 species